rnacentral:rRNA from 1 species
AAGUCGUAACAAGGUAACCGUAGGUGAACCUGCGGUUGGAUCAUUAACAAAUAAGUAGUGUUUAGAACACUCUGAUUGACUUCGGUCAUUCAUACACCUUGUGCAUUGUUUUGGAAUUUAUUCCAUAUCACUCUAUAUUGUCUGAAUUAAGAAUCUAAAUUAAAAAACAACUUUUAACAACGGAUCUCUUGGCUCUCGCAACGAUGAAGAACGCAGCGAAAUGCGAUACGUAAUGUGAAUUGCAGACCGUGAAUCAUCUAAUCUUUGAACGCAUCUUGCGCUCCCUGGUAUUCCGGAGAGCAUGCCUGUUUGAGAAUCGAUAAACCUUCUUACUCCAUUGGGACUUGUCAAUUUGACUUGGUUCGAUGGCAGUAGAUUUGGGCUUGAAAGCAAUUUCAUACCUAGAAGACAGCGUUGACUAAAGGCCUAAUGCUUUUUAAUAGUCUGUGUUUACUUGGAUUCAUCCAUAAUACAAUUAUUAACUAGCGUAUAUUAGACUCUUGACGGCAACUCACUUAACGAUUUUUGAUCGACCCAACACUUAAACCGUGUUAAUCUUGGUCUCAAAUCAGGCAAGAGUACCCGCUGAACUUAAGCAUAUCAAUAAGCGGAGGAAAAGAAACUAACAAGGAUUCCCUCAGUAAUGGCGAAUGAAGCGGGAAGUGCUCAAAUUUAAAAUCUCGUAGGUUUCCUGCGCGAAUUGUAGUUUAGAGAAAUGUUUUCGGUGGUAACGCGAGCAUAAGUCUCCUGGAACGGAGCAUCGUAGAGGGUGAUAAUCCCGUACUUGGCUCGCUGUUUACUUCCAUGUGAUACAUUUUCCAAGAGUCGGGUUGUUUGGGAAUGCAGCCCAAAAUGGGUGGUAAACACCAUCUAAAGCUAAAUAAUAGCGAGAGACCGAUAGCGAACAAGUACCGUGAGGGAAAGAUGAAAAGAACUUUGAAAAGAGAGUUAAAUAGUACGUGAAAUUGUUAAAAGGGAAACGUUUGAAACCAGUAUUGAGUGCGAGUACCUCGGGUUUAAAUUCGAGCUCUAUUCGUAAUCGAGUCAACAUCAGUUUGAUUUGAAGUAAACACUGCGAGGAAGGUAACCUUCGGGUAUUAUAGCCUCGUAGCAUGCUUUGGGUUGGACUGAGGACUGCAGCGUCAUCUUGGAACUUUGCGUCGCCUUUCGAAGUGGUAUGUUUAGACUACAUGUAGACUAAGUGUAUCAUCAGGAAGCUGUGCGUAAAUGCUUACUCUGACGCUUAAGAUGUUGACGAAAUGGUUUUAAGCGACC